rnacentral:rRNA from 1 species
UACGUAGGGUGCGAGCGUUGUCCGGAAUUAUUGGGCGUAAAGGGCUCGUAGGCGGUUUGUCGCGUCGGGAGUGAAAUCCACUGGCUUAACUGGUGGCUUGCUUUCGAUACGGGCAGACUGGAGGUAUGCAGGGGAGAACGGAAUUCCUGGUGUAGCGGUGAAAUGCGCAGAUAUCAGGAGGAACACCGGUGGCGAAGGCGGCUCACUGGAUCGGUACUGACGCUGAGGUGCGAAAGCGUGGGGAGCAAACAGG